rnacentral:rRNA from 1 species
AUUGAACGCUGGCGGCAGGCCUAACACAUGCAAGUCGAACGAGUGGCGGAGGGGUGAGUAAUUUCUGGGAAACUGCCCAAUGGAGGGGGCUAACUCCUGGAACCGGUAGCUAAUACCGCUUACAAUCGACUGUGCCCAGAUUGGUUUAGCUAGUCGGUGGGGUAACGGCUUACCUAGGGGACGAUCCCUAGCUGGUCUGCGAGGAUGACCAGCCACACUGGAACGGAGACACGGUCCAGACUCCUACGGGAGGCAGCAGUGGGGAAUAUUGCACAAUGGGCGCAAGCCUGAUGCAGCCAUGCCGCGUGUAUGAAGAAGGCCUUCGGGUUGUAAAGUACUUUCAGCGGGGAGGCGUUACCCGCAGAAGAAGCACCGGCUAACUCCGUGCCAGCAGCCGCGGUAAUAC